rnacentral:rRNA from 1 species
CCCUGUGAACAUACCACUUGUUGCCUCGGCGGAUCAGCCCGCUCCCGGUAAAACGGGACGGCCCGCCAGAGGACCCCUAAAACUCUGUUUCUAUAUGUAACUUCUGAGUAAAACCAUAAAUAAAUCAAAACUUUCAACAACGGAUCUCUUGGUUCUGGCAUCGAUGAAGAACGCAGCAAAAUGCGAUAAGUAAUGUGAAUUGCAGAAUUCAGUGAAUCAUCGAAUCUUUGAACGCACAUUGCGCCCGCCAGUAUUCUGGCGGGCAUGCCUGUUCGAGCGUCAUUUCAACCCUCAAGCACAGCUUGGUGUUGGGACUCGCGUUAAUUCGCGUUCCUCAAAUUGAUUGGCGGUCACGUCGAGCUUCCAUAGCGUAGUAGUAAAACCCUCGUUACUGGUAAUCGUCGCGGCCACGCCGUUAAACCCCAACUUCUGAAUGUUGACCUCGGAUCAGGUAGGAAUACCCGCUGAACUUAAGCAUAUCAAUAAGCGGAGGAAAUCAUUACGAGUUU